rnacentral:tRNA from 2 species
AAGUGCGUUAGUUAAAUUGGUAUAACGACAUGCUACGGACAUGUUCUUACAAGUUCGAGUCUUGUACGCACUUG